CAGUAGCCGCGGGAAUACGUAGGGUGCAAGCGUUAAUCGGAAUUACUGGGCGUAAAGCGUGCGCAGGCGGUUAUAUAAGACAGAUGUGAAAUCCCCGGGCUCAACCUGGGAACUGCAUUUGUGACUGUAUAGCUAGAGUACGGCAGAGGGGGAUGGAAUUCCGCGUGUAGCAGUGAAAUGCGUAGAUAUGCGGAGGAACACCGAUGGCGAAGGCAAUCCCCUGGGCCUGUACUGACGCUCAUGCACGAAAGCGUGGGGAGCAAACAGGAUUAGAUACCCGGGUAGUCCCUGUCUCUUAUAA
rnacentral:rRNA from 1 species